CAAUAGCGUAUAUUUAAGUUGUUGCAGUUAAAAAGCUCGUAGUUGGAUUUCGGUUGAGAGCGGCCGGUCCGCCGUUUGGUGUGCACUGGCUGGUUUCAACUUCCUGUAGAGGACGUGCUCUGGGUUUAACGACCUGGACUCGGAGUCUACGUGGUUACUUUGAAAAAAUUAGAGUGUUCAAAGCGGGCUUACGCUUGAAUAUUUCAGCAUGGAAUAACACUAUAGGACUCCUGUCCUAUUUCGUUGGUCUCGGGACGGGAGUAAUGAUUAAGAGGAACAGUUGGGGGCAUUCGUAUUUCAUUGUCAGAGGUGAAAUUCUUGGAUUUAUGAAAGACGAACUUCUGCGAAAGCAUUUGCCAAGGAUGUUUUCAUUA
rnacentral:rRNA from 1 species